rnacentral:lncRNA from 1 species
AAUAAUUUUUUUAAAAAAUAAUAAAUUAUACAUUACUCAAAAAAAAAAACUACGGACAAUCAUUAUUUUUAUAAUUUUUUAUUAAAAUAGUAAAUCAUUUAUCGUCUUUUUAAACAUUAUCUGUUAAAAUUUUUUAGAUUGUUAAUAUUAUAUGUGAUUUGUUUAUUAGGAUUAUAUAUAUAUAUAUAAUAUUAAAAAAAAAAGAUGGUUAGAGUUGUACGUAAAUUAUUAGAAUUUUUGUUUGGUUGUUAGUAUUGUAUAAAUAGAUUUUUAGAAUUUUUAAAUUAUUAAUAUUAUAUGUAAUUUGUUGUUAUAUGACGGUUAGAGUUAUAUAUGAAAAAUAGAAAAGAACAGCAAAUCAUUCACUUUUUAUAUAUUAAGAAAAAAAUAUUGAAUGAUUCAUCGUUAUUUAAAAAAAAUUAAAAAAUAAUAAAUCAUUUAUCGGCUUUAAAAUGAAUUU